GCCGACUCCAUUUCUUUGAGGAGGGAAGCAAUUUGUUGCUCUGCUCUCUCCUAAUUUUACGUUUUCUAGUGAGAACUGUGCGGACGUUCAGAUUGGCCAUAUUUUUACCUAUAAAGAACAGAGAACUGGAUGCCUGGCCAGAGAAAGCAGAGAGGACAGAGCAUGAGGGAGGAAUGGUCACUGCAUCUCCCCAGAGAGGGCAGAGGACAGAGAGGGGAGUUUGUGUCCUUGGUGAUGGAGAGGCUUGCCCCAUCCUGCUUUAGAGAAGGUCCGUCCUUGUCGCCAGAGCUGGCUGUCCAGGAACAUCCUGUUUGCACACAGAUGGUCACUGUGAAGGACAGAGAGGAGCCUGACUGCAUCCCCUGAGCGCUUGGAUCCAGCCAUGCCUGAAGGGAUUCUGAAGCUGGUUCUCCUAACUGGAGAAGCCCAGAAAGGAGAGCCUGGAGGAGAAGAGACAGAUUCCUUGACGUCAGUCCUGACAGGUCUCAGUCCCUCAAUGUUCUGGUUCUCUGAG
rnacentral:lncRNA from 1 species